rnacentral:rRNA from 1 species
GAUGAACGCUGGCGGCGUGCCUAAUACAUGCAAGUCGAGCGAACAGACGAGGAGCUUGCUCCUCUGACGUUAGCGGCGGACGGGUGAGUAACACGUGGAUAACCUACCUAUAAGACUGGGAUAACUUCGGGAAACCGGAGCUAAUACCGGAUAAUAUAUUGAACCGCAUGGUUCAAUAGUGAAAGACGGUUUUGCUGUCACUUAUAGAUGGAUCCGCGCCGCAUUAGCUAGUUGGUAAGGUAACGGCUUACCAAGGCAACGAUGCGUAGCCGACCUGAGAGGGUGAUCGGCCACACUGGAACUGAGACACGGUCCAGACUCCUACGAGAGGCAGCAGUAGGGAAUCUUACGCAAUAGGCGAAAACCUGGCGGAGCAACGCCGCGUGAGUGAUGAAGGUCUUCGGAUCGUAAAGCUCUGUUAUUAGGGAAGAACAAAUGUGUAAGUAACUAUGCACGUCUUGACGGUACCUAAUCAGAAAGCCACGGCUAACUACGUG